rnacentral:rRNA from 1 species
GAGUUUGAUCCUGGCUCAGAACGAACGCUGGCGGCGUGCCUAACACAUGCAAGUCGAACGUGAUCCAGAGCUUGCUCUGGUGAAAGUGGCGCACGGGUGAGUAACGCGUGGAUAACCUACCCUGGUAUCCGGGAUAACAUUCCGAAAGGGGUGCUAAUACCGGAUAAGCCCACGGGCUCUUUGGAGCUUGCGGGAAAAGGUGGCCUCUAUUUAUAAGCUACUGUAUCAGGAUGGGUCCGCGUACCAUUAGCUAGUUGGCGGUGUAACGGACCACCAAGGCGACGAUGGUUAGCUGGUCUGAGAGGAUGAUCAGCCACACUGGGACUGAGACACGGUCCAGACUCCUACGGGAGGCAGCAGUGGGGAAUUUUGCGCAAUGGGGGAAACCCUGACGCAGCAACGCCGCGUGAGUGAUGAAGGCCUUUGGGUCGUAAAGCUCUGUCAGAGGGGAAGAAAUGAUAUAGUGCUAAUACCACUUUAUCUUGACGGUACCCUCAAAGGAAGCACCGGCUAACUCCGUGCCAGCAGCCGCGGUAAUAC